GACGAACGCUGGCGGCGUGCUUAACACAUGCCAGUCGAACGGACAGGCCCUGCUUUUGUGGGGUGCUCGAGUGGCGAACGGGUGAGUAACACGUGAGUAACCUGCCCUUGACUUUGGGAUAACUUCAGGAAACUGGGGCUCAUACCGGAUAGGAGCUCCUGCUGCAUGGUGGUGGUUAGAAAGUUUCGGCGGUUGGGGAUGGACUCGCGGCUUAUCAGCUUGUUGGUGGGGUAGUGGCUUACCAAGGCUUUGACGGGUAGCCGGCCUGGGAGGGUGACCGGCCACAUUGGGACUGAGAUACGGCCCAGACUCCUACGGGCGGCAACAGUGGGGAAUAUUGCACAAUGGGCGGAAGCCUGAUGCAGCAACGCCGCGUGCGGGAUGACGGCCUCCGGGUUGUAAACCGCUUUCGCCUGUGACGAAGCGUGAGUGACGGUAAUGGGUAAAGAAGCACCGGCUAACUACGUG
rnacentral:rRNA from 1 species